rnacentral:lncRNA from 1 species
UAACUAUAAAUGGUACUGUGGAUGCCAUCGGAAGUCUAACCCCUACGGAGAUAGGCCUCACUGAACUAUUGCUUAGUCUACCAUAUCCUUUACUACCACAAUAACUGACUAAUAUACAUUACUACUCUCAACACAUGUUCACUAUGGUAAUUGAACAUAGAGCAUUCACAAAUAAGAUGUUUUCCAACACGUGUAUGCGUGGGUUUGUUGUAGUGGUGGUGAGGGAGUGUGUGUGUGUGUGUGAGCAAGUGCAGUGAUGGUUACGCUUUUCAUAUUACCUGGUGAAAAAAUCUGAGAUUCCAAACUUCUUAGAAGAGGACAGAGCUGUCGACCCGUCGGGGAGUUUCUCUGGGGCACUUUGACGACGACCGAUAUCAAUAAGUGUUUCUAGAGCCGUCAGCACCACCCUCAUCUCCAAAUAACACGUCCCCAUCCUCCGGGCUGAGAGGGGUGGCAUCACAGCUCAGAGAGACUGUGAUGUUUGGGUUAGUCCUGAGGCUGAGAGGCCUAACUGGGAGACUGCACUCACUCAAAUCCUCUCUCAUGCUGGGUUCUGUGUUUGGACUGUUGCUGGUGUUUUCAGAAAGUGUUGACGGAGAGGGAGACGGGAGUUUGGCACUCGAUUCUGAAGGGACACCCUCAGAGUCCGGAACACUACUCGCUGCGUCGGGGGGCUUGGCAGCUGCUGGGGGAGCUCUCUCUGGGCUGCCAUGCCUCAAACCCCCGCUGUUUCUCUCACAUAAUGCAGGUGAUGACUGGAUGUUUUGGCGCUGCAGAUUAGAAGUGUGCACCACGACGACAUCAAAUGGAACAUUUGUGGUUCUUUCUGAGGAAACAGCAUCAAAAUCACAUGUAGCUUCAGUGUUUACAGUAUGCAGGCCACCAUUUGCUACAUUUACUUCCAUGACAGAGCAGUCAAGUUCUUGGCAUAGCAGUCGGUUGCAUGUGUCCAUCUGGCUACAAUAAUCAGUAUCCACAUCUGUAGACCAAUCAUCAUUUGAUAAAUAGCAAUCCAUAUCCCCGUUGGCCAUCUUCAUGUCCAAAUCAACAGUGUCUGUGAAAGUGUAAUUCUGUUGAUGGUUGUCUGUAGGCCUACAUGACAAUGGAGAGAGAGAUGGCGGCUGUGGCCCUGACUCCAUAUUAGAAUCCCCCUCGUUCAGUGUACCCGAGUUGGAAUCUUGAGUCUCCCCCUCAUAAUCCAGUUUUCCCCGCUGUGAAACACGAGCCAGCUGCAGUAACAUUCCGUUCCCCUCCUCGUGUCUGUAGGCGCUUGCAGCUGUGUCUGAGCAGGAAAAAAGCCCCCCGCUCCCCCCUCCGUCAUCUUCCGACCCGACCAUCAGCUGAACCGAUGACUCAGUAAAUCCAUUAAGUCUGUGGUCGUUCGGGUGCGGUGGGUCGUUGCACAGGUCUGAAAUUACACAGCUUUCAUUCAUCUGAGUGGGGAGACACUCUGCAACCAAAUCCCGCAUUAUUGUAUUCCCAACUCGGACGUUCUGCGAUGGUAACACGACACAGUCAACGAUUGGAUUCUUCCUAUUGCUGGCAAUAUAAACAUAACCUUUCCCCGUUUGACCCUCAUCCGACACGCAUACUCGGCUUCCGUUGUCGUCCAAUGGGCGAGACGUUGCUAUUAUAUUACAGUCGGCAUGUGAACCGUAAGAUUUACCUGCCUCUUCGUUUUCGUUGACAUCGACGGGCAAAACAAGAACCACAUCUCCAUGUUCUGCUGUUUCCAUUUCAUGUACCCUCCGCGAAGCUAGUUACAGCUUCGGACAUAAAAUCCUGCAGCGUCGCCACCUCGGACGUCUGAGCUCCCAGUCUUCGUUGUUCUUUGAGAGCGUGACCAUGUUUUGUAGUCUGUCGUUUUUAAUCUGGCAGACCCACAAAAACAGCAUGCUGUUUUGAGGAACGUUUGGUCAAAAUAACAUUUCAAUCGGGCCUGUGCUGUAACAGAUUAAUGCAAUCCCUAUGUACCAGUCAGCAGCACUAAUACCACAACCAGUAGCCAUUUUGAAGUGUUCAUGACGUCACGUCUUUCCCGACUCGCUAAACCCAAAAGUCAGAUGUCUUGGAUACGAAGUGACAUCUUCUUUUGAGAAAGCGUAAUUGCAUCUAGGAAUAAACCAUAGUCUACAUACUCUG